rnacentral:rRNA from 1 species
AAUUUUGUUCUGUUUUAUACCAGGUAGGUGUAAAUAAAUUAAUUUUAUGUUGUGACAAAUAAUGCGGUAGCUUUUAUAUCUGUUUUUCAGCUUUUAUUAUGUAUACUCUUUUGGCGAUGAGGUCAGAUGAGCGUAAAUAUCUAAGUUUCAUGUUUUGUAAAAAAAGGGUUAAAAUUACCCAGUUUUGUUAAUUGUGUUAUAACUUUAUGAUAGUGUUUAAAUUGAUUUUAUUUAUUAGCUGUUAAUUUAUAACUUUUAGUAUCCAUUUUAUGAUUAAAUUAGUAAUCUUAAUAUAAUUAUUGUUUCUCGAAGGCGGCCUGUCUGUUUAUUAAAAACAUUUCCACUCGUUCUUUAUGUGUGGUAGUGCCUGCUCUAUGCGUUUUGUAAAUGGCCGCAGUAUCUUGACUGUGCGAAGGUAGCAUAAUUAAUUGCCUUAUAAUUGAAGGCUUGUUUGAAAGGUUUGACAAGGUGGUGCUUAACAUUAUUUAUUUUUUUGAAUUUAAUUAUAGGGGCACAGAAUCCCUUAUUGUUAAUUAGACGGAAAGACCCCGGGAUCUUUCAUUUUGUCUGGGGCAGAUUGUGGUGUUUUACUAACAAAUUAGACCCUAUUGGUGCAUUGGUUUAAGUUACCCCGGGGAUAACAGUGUAAUAAUUUAUUAGAGAUCUUAUCGAAUUUAUUGAUUGCCACCUCGAUGUUGACUUAGGUUUAAGUUUAGGCGCAGUAGUUU